UACGAAGGGUGCAAGCGUUACUCGGAAUUACUGGGCGUAAAGCGUGCGUAGGUGGUUUGUUAAGUCUGUUGUGAAAGCCCCGGGCUCAACCUGGGAAUGGCAAUGGAUACUGGCAGGCUAGAGUGCGGUAGAGGUAGUGGAAUUCCCGGUGUAGCGGUGAAAUGCGUAGAGAUCGGGAGGAACACCAGUGGCGAAGGCGGCCACCUGGACGGUAACUGACGCUGAGACGCGAAAGCGUGGGGAGCAAACAGG
rnacentral:rRNA from 1 species